rnacentral:rRNA from 1 species
UACGGAAGGCAGCAGUGGGGAAUAUUGCACAAUGGGCGAAAGCCUGAUGCAGCUAUGCCGCGUGUAUGAAGAAGGCCUUAGGGUUGUAAAGUACUUUCAUCGGGGAGGAAAAAACAAAACUAAUAAUUUUAUUUCUUGACGUUACCCGAAAAAGAAGCACCGGCUAACUCCGUGCCAGCAGCCGCGGUAAUACGGAGGGUGCUAGCGUUAAUCAGAAUUACUGGGCGUAAAGAGCACGUAGGUGGUUUUUUUAAGUCAGAUGUGAAAUCCCCUGGGCUUAACCUAGGAACUGCAUUUUGAAACUGAAAUACUAGAGUAUCGUAGAGGGAGGUAGAAUUCUAGGUGUAGCGGUGAAAUGCGUAGAUAUCUGGAGGAAUACCUGUGGCGAAAGCGGCCUCCUAAACGAAUACUGACACUGAGGUGCGAAAGCGUUGGGGAGCAAACAGGGAUUAGAUACC